GAAUAGGCUCCUAUUCUUCUGAGCCAGUGCUUCGAGCACGGCAGUUUCAAGUUCCCUUGUGCAGAGGCUUUUUCUUUCUGGUUCUUGUGACAGAAAUUUGCUCAGACCUUCUAGGCAAUGAUGAACUGCACUUUGAUUCAUCAGGUCUAUAGCUGCUAUUCUAUUUAGAGGCGGAAAAGAAGUAUUGGCCUGACCCCCAACGCGGAACAGAACUAAUGGAUCAGUGUUGAGAGAAUUACGUACAUCGCACAGUGACAGCCUCCGACCAGAAGCCGCCCAGAUACCACCAGUGGUGUUGCUGUCAGUGAUGUGAUGUUUCCAGAAUGAUGAACAACUGCAGGCGAUUAGGAUCUUCUUUGAAUUUGUGCAACAUUACUCACCUGGAUUUCUAACCACUUACUGUCCUUUACUUCUUUGGAGCAGAUUCUGCUUUGCUCUGUUUGUGAAAGACAACUGGAUGAGUGAAGAUUACUACUUGCAAUAAGAC
ensembl:lncRNA